GAUGAACGCUGGCGGCGUGCCUAAUACAUGCAAGUCGAGCGAACAGACGAGGAGCUUGCUCCUCUGACGUUAGCGGCGGACGGGUGAGUAACACGUGGAUAACCUACCUAUAAGACUGGGAUAACUUCGGGAAACCGGAGCUAGUACCGGAUAAUAUAUUGAACCGCAUGGUUCAAUAGUGAAAGACGGUUUUGCUGUCACUUAUAGAUGGAUCCGCGCCGCAUUAGCUAGUUGGUAAGGUAACGGCUUACCAAGGCAACGAUGCGUAGCCGACCUGAGAGGGUGAUCGGCCACACUGGAACUGAGACACGGUCCAGACUCCUACGGGAGGCAGCAGUAGGGAAUCUUCCGCAAUGGGCGAAAGCCUGACGGAGCAACGCCGCGUGAGUGAUGAAGGUCUUCGGAUCGUAAAACUCUGUUAUUAGGGAAGAACAAAUGCGUAAGUAACUAUGCACGUCUUGACGGUACCUAAUCAGAAAGCCACGGCUAACUACGUG
rnacentral:rRNA from 1 species